UACGUAGGGGGCAAGCGUUAUCCGGAAUUAUUGGGCGUAAAGGGUGCGUAGGUGGUUUUGUAAGCGCGAGGUGAAAGGCAAUAGCUCAACUAUUGUAAGCCUUGCGAACUGUAAGACUUGAGUGCAGGAGAGGAAAGCGGAAUUCCUAGUGUAGCGGUGAAAUGCGUAGAUAUUAGGAGGAACACCAGUGGCGAAGGCGGCUUUCUGGACUGUAACUGACACUGAGGCACGAAAGCGUGGGGAGCAAACAGG
rnacentral:rRNA from 1 species